CAAAAGGUUGUGUGAAAAGGUGUGACUUUCUUGGGACAUUGCCUUCUGUGCAGAUACUCUGAGGUGUGUCUAAGGAGGCCCACUUCUGCCUCAGGAAUGAGGCAUUUCACGUCACGUCCUUUGAUGACAUGGAGAUGUCUCUGAAGAGGCAAGCUAAAGGUCAGAAAUGGGUGAAGACCAGCAAGCCCAGUGAACUCAAAUGAGAUUCAGUCUGCGGGGUGGUGGGGGACAGCUGUAGGAAUGGGAGACGAGACAGCUGUCUGCCCAGCCCUGUCCCAGGUCACUAGCAACCUGGCUGAGAACCAGCCUUGCAGGGCUUUGCUCCCUUCUCUGGGGAAAGGAAGCUAGUCCGUGGCUCCUCCGCUUCUCAACCCCAAGGUUCCACCCUGUUCUUCCCACAGCACUGGGUCCUCCAUGGUUAGUAUCCAGCUUUGGGUUUUCCAGGUUGAUUUCCCCUCCACCUGCUUCAUGAAACUUCUUGAUGCCCAAGAGAACCUUCCUUGGGGGAUAGAUCAGUGGACUUCCGCAGAAGCUGCCUAUUUGGGUUAGUGAGCAGGGACUCCUGAGGCAGUGACAGGAGUUAAUUGCAUCAGGUUUCUGGCUCACGGUAAGUUUUUGAUAACUGUAGCUGUUACUAUGAUGAUACUAAUAACAAUAAUUAUUAAUGUUAUAAUUUAAUGCAUUGGGAAAAGCAGUACAAAAAUGUGACUGGUUUGUUCUUGUUUGCCAGGUGAAUUUCCAGCUUCCCUGGGAGGGUUGAGAUGGAAACUAUGGACCUGUCUUGUUUGGACUGAAGUGGUACCACACAGGGGCUGCCUGGCCAUGGACCACAGCGUUCCCAUCUCCCCGUCAGCCACAGACACAAAGAGGAGCUGGAGUUCUGCACGCCAGAUGCAAAAACUGAGGCUCCUUGACAGCUGCAGUCCUUUAAAGCCAUGGUGCAGCUACCCAGAGGUGGAAUGCAUCCUUGGCAAUCCGUCUCACGAAGCCCUCCAGGUGACUGCAAAGUGCCGGAGUGACGACCCCAUGGCUGGGGUUGUGCAGUGGUGACCAUUUUCCAGAAAGGAAAACCUUCCGUUAAAAGGUGAGACGUACCACUGUGAAAGGCUGAUAGAGAAAAACACAACUGAUGGCCUUCUAGGAGCAUCCUGGGGAUUUCUGAGCAUAGACGAAGGCGGGAAGGGUUUUAUAACUCCGCAGAAUCUGCAUAUUUAGACAGGGUGCAUCAGCCUUUAUUGAGA
rnacentral:lncRNA from 1 species